GUGCGCUUGCGGAUCAAUUCCUGAUGGCGUUAACAAAUAUCAACAAGCAUUUCUGGCACUGUUGCCGGGGAGAAAGACGGUUUGCUGAGAUAACUUUAAGUCUUGCUAUUAUGUUAUAUUAUACUUUUAUACUUUUAUUCUUUUAUCUUUUUAUUUUUUCCAUCUUUGUGGGUAACUCAAAUUCCACACCUAUUAUUGAAUUCUUUGCACCUUCGGAGACCAGCCAUAGACCAUGGGAGUCAACAAGUCCUGCCCCUAAUUAUGAUCUGUGUCUAGAGUUGAUUGCAAUAGGUCAGAACUAACCCUUUUCUAUAGCCGAGGUCCUAUCUUUUAAUCAAGAAGAUAAUUAACUUUUAGCUACACCUAGGGAAUCUGGUAAUCUUUCUAUAAAUUUUGUUUUAGACCUAGCCCUACAAGACCAUGUUUUUUCUCGAUAUUUUCACAUUGGUCUUAAUCAUAUAACCUUUGGUAGAGUUUUUCUUUCUUUAUCUGUUAGUAAAGCAAGGUAUGUCUUCAUUCGUGGACAUCCUUCUUGCACUAGUCUUCAUAUAAAAUUCCUAGAGAUAGAGAAGGAAUCAUCUCCCAGAUGAGGAAAGGAAGUUUCAAUAGCCAAUUUCCAAACAUUUUAAUCCCAUGAUUCGGCUAUCCAAUCCAAACUAGU
rnacentral:lncRNA from 1 species